rnacentral:rRNA from 1 species
UACGGAGGGUGCGAGCGUUGUCCGGAAUCAUUGGGCGUAAAGGGCGCGUAGGUGGCCCGGUCAGUCUUUGGUGAAAGCGCGGGGCUCAACCCUGCGUCGGCCAGGGAUACUGCCGCGGCUGGAGCACUGUAGAGGCAGGCGGAAUUCCGGGUGUAGCGGUGGAAUGCGUAGAGAUCCGGAAGAACACCGGUGGCGAAGGCGGCCUGCUGGGCAGUUGCUGACACUGAGGCGCGACAGCGUGGGGAGCA